AGUGAACGCUGGCGGUAGGCCUAACACAUGCAAGUCGAACGGCAGCACAGUAAGAGCUUGCUCUUACGGGUGGCGAGUGGCGGACGGGUGAGGAAUACAUCGGAAUCUACUUUUUCGUGGGGGAUAACGUAGGGAAACUUACGCUAAUACCGCAUACGACCUACGGGUGAAAGCAGGGGAUCUUCGGACCUUGCGCGAUUGAAUGAGCCGAUGUCGGAUUAGCUAGUUGGCGGGGUAAAGGCCCACCAAGGCGACGAUCCGUAGCUGGUCUGAGAGGAUGAUCGGCCACACUGAAACGGAAAACGGGUCCAGACUCCAACGGGAGGCAGCGGGGGGAAUAUUGGACAAUGGGCGCAAGCCUGAUCCAGCCAUACCGCGUGGGUGAAGAAGGCCUUCGGGUUGUAAAGCCCUUUUGUUGGGAAAGAAAAGCAGCAGGUUAAUACCCCGCUGUUCUGACGGUACCCAAAGAAUAAGCACCGGCUAACUUCGUG
rnacentral:rRNA from 1 species